UGUUUUUUUCAGGUUUUUAAUGUAAUAUUAUAAUGCUUAUAUUGUUAGAUUAUAUAAGAAUGGAUAGAUAAGUGAUAAUAUAUAUUUAUUAAUUUUAAAUAAUAAAAUAUAUAUUAAUUAUUUAAUAUAAUAAAUAUUUAUAUGUAUGUCUCAUAAUUAUAGUAUAUGUAUUAGAUUUAAGUAAAAGAAAUUUCUAUUAGAAUGUAUUUAGAAAAAUAUAUUGGCUUCAGUGUUAAAUUAUUUUUCUAUUUUAGUUAAAUAAAAAUGAUUUGUUUAUCAUAAAAAAGUAGGACUUAUUUAAGACUUUAAGGUUAUUAUUAAUUAUUAAAAAAGCAAUUUUAGAUUCUAUGGAUUCCAUAAUUAAUGAACUAUAUAUAUAUUAUAUUAUAUUCUGUAUGACUGUACCUGUAUACUAUGUUAUUGUUGGCAAUUCUAGUUUAUGUUUGUAUGAAAUUGACGACUAUCAAACGGCAUGGUAGUUACUUUAUUAUAGGCAAUCUUAUUAUUUAUUCUUUGUAUUUUUUAAUAUUUUUCUUAAAUUGCUCAAUCAAUUCAUUGAAUACUUUACUUGUAUGUACAAAAUUAAAAUAAAAACAACAUAGAAAGAUAUUAAGAAGUCAUCUUACGAAAAAUAAUUAUUAAUAAAAGAGACUUGUCCAAUUUUGUAAAUCCAUCACAAAUUUAAAUUCAAGAAAUAACAAUUGUGAAAUUCUAAAAUAGUAAAAUUAAAAAAAAAUAUUAUGAGGAGAAUAAGAUUAAGAGGUUAAUAAUAGUUAAAAAGAAUCAAAUUAAUGAAUUUAGAUUCUUGAAGGAAUUAGACAAAAUACUUUAAAAGGUGUAAUUUUCUAAAAGAAAAUAAGAAAGAACAUUGGACAUAGAGGAAUGCCCUGCACCUGUGUCCACGUUUGCUGUGUGGUCCCGAGGCAAGGCUACACGUAUGGGACUGUGUCCCAAUGUUUUAGUUUUUUUUUUUUUUUUUCUAAAUUUAAAAUUAUAAUAAAAUAAAUUAUAAAGCUAAUAUUGUUUAAUUCAGAAUUAUAUAUUAAACAAAUUUUUUUAUAUUUAUAAAAAUUAAUUUUUUACUGUGUUGUAUAAUUGUCAUAAUUAUUUUAAUUUUAAAUAAUAAUAUAAAUUGAGUUUAUAAAUAAAAUUAAAUAGAAUUUUCAACAUUUUAACAUUUUAUAUAAUAUUUUUAUAAAUAAUAAUAAAUUAAUUAUUAUAUAUAAAUUUAAAUUUAAUGGGUUAAAAAUGACUUUAUAUCAAAAUAUAGUACCAUAAGUUAACAANNNNNNNNNNNNNNNNNNNNNNNNNNNNNNNNNNNNNNNNNNNNNNNNNNNNNNNNNNNNNNNNNNNNNNNNNNNNNNNNNNNNNNNNNNNNNNNNNNNNNNNNNNNNNNNNNNNNNNNNNNNNNNNNNNNNNNNNNNNNNNNNNNNNNNNNNNNNNNNNNNNNNNNNNNNNNNNNNNNNNNNNNNNNNNNNNNNNNNNNNNNNNNNNNNNNNNNNNNNNNNNNNNNNNNNNNNNNNNNNNNNNNNNNNNNNNNNNNNNNNNNNNNNNNNNNNNNNNNNNNNNNNNNNNNNNNNNNNNNNNNNNNNNNNNNNNNNNNNNNNNNNNNNNNNNNNNNNNNNNNNNNNNNNNNNNNNNNNNNNNNNNNNNNNNNNNNNNNNNNNNNNNNNNNNNNNNNNNNNNNNNNNNNNNNNNNNNNNNNNNNNNNNNNNNNNNNNNNNNNNNNNNNNNNNNNNNNNNNNNNNNNNNNNNNNNNNNNNNNNNNNNNNNNNNNNNNNNNNNNNNNNNNNNNNNNNNNNNNNNNNNNNNNNNNNNNNNNNNNNNNNNNNNNNNNNNNNNNNNNNNNNNNNNNNNNNNNNNNNNNNNNNNNNNNNNNNNNNNNNNNNNNNNNNNNNNNNNNNNNNNNNNNNNNNNNNNNNNNNNNNNNNNNNNNNNNNNNNNNNNNNNNNNNNNNNNNNNNNNNNNNNNNNNNNNNNNNNNNNNNNNNNNNNNNNNNNNNNNNNNNNNNNNNNNNNNNNNNNNNNNNNNNNNNNNNNNNNNNNNNNNNNNNNNNNNNNNNNNNNNNNNNNNNNNNNNNNNNNNNNNNNNNNNNNNNNNNNNNNNNNNNNNNNNNAUUCAUUAAUUUAUUUUUUUCAAUCUAAUAGUUAUAAAAAUCAGUGAAAAUUUUAUUUUCAGAUAAAAAUGAUAUUGAUUUUUUUAUGAAAGUUAUAUUUAUUGUUUUGUGAUGCAUAUUUUAAAUAUUUUUGUGAUUAAUAUAAGCAUUUAUCAUUUAUGAGUAUAAUAUUUAUUAGUUUGUUAAUGGAUAUUCAUUAUGAAUGAAUACCAUAUUUAUUAAUUUAUUCAAAUAAAUAUAUAUAUAACUUAAAUAUAUAAUAAGUCGUCUUUACAAUUAAUAAAGAAAAAAAUCAAGCUAGUUAUCCUAUAAAUAUUUAAAUUUAUGGUAUAAAUUUUUUUUAAUAAAUUAAAAUUAAUAAACAAUGAAUAGUUAAUGUUUAAAUAAUAAACGUUCAGUAUAUGUUUAAUAAUAUCUAAUAUUAAUUUAAUGAAUAUAAAUUCGAAAAAAUACGUGUUAGAAUUUUGACACAUAUCUUGUAUAUGACCGAACCAUAUUACAAUGUGAUGCAAGAUGCACGACAGAAGGGUGCGAGGAAGAGAGAAAGGAUUAUUAUACUAGAUCUUCACUAAGGCCAAACUUCAAAGUGGGUCGGUAUAUUGAGUUAGAUUUGGUUAAACAUGUAAGCCCUAACAGUCAGAUUGGGCAAGAUUCAAAUCCAAAUCUUUUUUCUUUUGAACUGAAUGAAUAACUUCAAUGAAAUCAAGGAUAAGACAUCCUGCAAGAGCAGUUUCUCAGGUUCAGCUGAAAUCAGAAAUCCAGCCAGAGUUAUACAACAAAAUAAUUAACUUUAGAAAGCCAAUGAGCAGCUCUAUUACAGAUUGUAGGAAUCAAUCUAAAAGUGCACAAUAUAAAUUCCUUGUAAGUAUCCUCAAUUGUCGGUCUAAACUCUUAAGAGAAAAUUAUAAAUUGUUCUUUAUUUUAGGUUCUUAAAAUUCUUAUAUACAUAUAAAAUAUAAUUAAAUUAUCUUUCAAUAGCACCAAAUUAAGGUCGCACAAUAAAUUGAAUAGUCAAAUUGAAUUUUAUUCCAUAAAAAUAAGUAUUUAUAUCACAUUAUCUCUUAUCUGACUAAAAUAAAACCUGAGGAAAUUGAAUCGAUUUGCAAAUUGAAUUUGAUUUAUAAAAUAAAUAAUAAAGUCAAGAUGUUGCCUAGUUCAAUCCAAUGCUCAAUUAAUUAAAUAUAGGGAUUAUAAACAUAGUUAUAUACAUAUAUUACUUCGAGCCAAACCAAAAUCUUGUUAAUAAUUUUUGGAUGUAACUAAGAGGAAAAAAGAAAUAUUGCAAAUGGCAUCAUUAACUAAGCGUAAACUUUAAAAGAUAGCUGAGGUUGGCAGAAGAUUGAAACAGUCAUAGCAUUUCUUUGUUGGUAUAUUUUAUUUUUGGAAUUCAAAAAAGAAAAGCAUUAACUCUAUAGCUUGUUACAUGAAUUCAAGAAAUGCCGACCUUGAUACCAAAGCAGAAUCCAUUUGGUAGCAAAACUGUUCACUUUGGUGAGUAUAACAAUUUAAUUAGUUGUCUUUGUCCAAAUCUGAGAUUUUAUGGAAGAACUAACUGUAAUUUACAAGCCUCCAGGCUCCAGGAAAUUCUCCUUCUUUCCGUUGCCAUGUCUGUUCUAUCGUCCUCGAAUUCUCAUCAUCAAUCAUCAAUUAUUUGUUUUCUUCUUCUCAGUCUCUUCACGACCAGUUUCCUGUUUCAUGUAACGUUGGAGGUAUAUGCUACUCCAAUAAGCUUUAAUUUUUCUGGUUUUGAUUCAAAUCAUCCUGAAAUUUUUACUGAAAGAGAUGCUUGUGUGAGCAUUGAAGGAAUUGACCUCACCACUAACACGCGUGGUACAGAUCAAGGUAAGAGAGUUGGUCGAGCCACAUAUACAAACCCACUGCACCUCUGGGAUAAAGUGUCAGGGAAUCUCACCAACUUCACUACUCAUUUCUCCUUCAUCAUCAACUCAAACGGUGAAUCCAACUAUGGCGAUGGGCUAACAUUUUUUCUUGCUCUGAAUGGUUCUAGAGUUCCUCAAAAUAUGGAAGCUGGUGGUGGUCUUGGUCUUGCCAUCAAUGACAAUGUUAGUCAUGCAUUGAACUACGCAGAAAAUCAGUUUGUUGCGAUUGAGUUUGAUACCUAUAAAAAUCCCUGGGAUCCUUUAAAUGAUCAUGUAGGUAUAAAUAUCAGGUCCAUGAAAUCUGUUGAGCAUGUUUCUUGGCUGAGUGAAGUAAGACAAGGGAUCACAACAGAUGCUUGGAUUAGAUAUGAUUCAAGCCAGAAAGUUUUGAGCGUCAAAUUUGCUCAUAUUGAUCGUUAUAGCAACUCAAUUGUAGAGGGAAAGGUAUCAGCUGUGGUUGAUUUGGCCAAGCAUUUACCUGAAUGGGUUACUUUUGGCUUCUCUGCCAGCACUGGACUUUCCAAAGAGAUGAACAGAAUCACAUCAUGGGAGUUCAAUUCAAGCUCCGACAUUGUAGAACUGAAUACCACUCAGUCUGAUCCAGCAGGCACUGCGAAUAUCACACCUGCAGCUAAUACUGGCUUACUUUCAAAAAAAAGCAAAAGUAAAAUUAUAGGAUUGGUGGCAGGAUUAAGUGUUGGAGCUUGUGUUUCGAUUGUUGGAGCAGGUUUUGCUUCAUAUCUCUUAAGGAGAAAAAAACAACUUAAGACGGAUGAUCCUGUCUUUGAUUUCGCAUUUAGUGAUGAUUUCAAAAAUGGGACAGGACCAAGAAAAUUAUCUUACAAUGAAUUAGCAGAUGCAACGGAUAAUUUCUCAGAGGUAAAAAAGCUUGGUGAAGGUGGAUUUGGAGCAGUUUAUAGAGGUUUUUUGAAGGAAAUAAAUUCCUAUGUGGCUGUUAAGAGGGUGUCAAAGGAGUCUAAACAAGGUAUCAAAGAGUACGCGGCAGAAGUGAAGAUCAUUAGCCGAAUGAGGCAUAGGAAUUUGGUCAAGCUCAUGGGUUGGUGCCAUGAAAGAGAACUACUACUUGCAUACGAGUUCAUGCCCGGUGGCAGCCUAGAUGCUCACCUUUUUAAAGGCAAAAGCCUAUUGAAAUGGGAGGUGAGGUACAAAAUUGCACAGGGAUUGGCAUCCGCAUUACUAUACCUACACGAAGAAAGUGAUCAGUGCGUGCUGCAUAGAGAUAUUAAAUCAAGCAACAUUAUGUUGGAUUCCAGUUUCGAUGCUAAACUUGGGGAUUUCGGGUUAGCUAGGCUUGUUGAUCAUGCAAAAGGGUCUCAAACCACAGUUUUAGCAGGAACAAUGGGAUACAUGGCUCCUGAAUGUUUCACUACAGGAAAGGCAAGCAAGGAAUCAGAUAUAUAUAGUUUUGGAGUUGUUGCAUUGGAAAUGGCAUGUGGGAGAAGAGUGCUCGAACCAGGAAUCGAAGAAAACCAAACAAGACUAAUGGAAUGGGUUUGGGAACUGUAUGGAAUUGGAAAACUUCUGCAAGCAGCUGACCCCAAACUUAGUGGAGAUUUUAAUGAACAAGAAAUGGAGAGACUGAUGAUUGUUGGACUCUGCUGCGCGCAUCCUGACCACGCUUUUCGGCCUUCCAUAAGGCAAGUUAUCAAUUUAUUGAUUAGUUCUGAGGUUCCCUUGCCUGUCCUGCCACCAGAAAUGCCUGUGCCAGCUUAUCUUGCUCCUCCAGUUAAACUAUCCAUGUCAUCAUCUUAUAGUAGUGCCAGCAGCAUCAGGUCAAUCCACAAUUCAAGUAUGCGGCUGAUUCAUUAAAAUCUAUAUCACCUUCUGGAGCAUCUUCUUCUGUAUCACUUUUGUCGAACAUAACAUAAGUUCAUUAUCAAUGUAUACAUUACAAUGAAUAGUUGGAUGAUAUAUAGUACUAAUGUUUUACACUUGAGUAUCAAAUAAUUGACAUAUAUCUCAAUUAAAUAGAAAUAUGUCACUUAUAUUUCUACAAAUUGAAUGUUCAAUUUUAGAAAUUCUAUUAGAAAAAUUUAUUUAAUAAAAUUGAAUGAUAUCUCAGAAAAGUAUAUAUUAAGCAGAUGUCAAUUCCUGUAAAAUUUGAUAGAUAAUAUGGUUAGGGUUUUGUCCAUAAUUAUAUGAAUGUGAUAUCUAUAGUAAAAGUAUUUUUUUAUAGAGAUGACAAAGUCUUGUAUAAACUUAGAAAUCAACUCAGAAAUCAAAUUCGACUGGCUUGAAACUUGAUCUAUCCAAACCCGAAUUUCAAUAUAAAACUAAAGAUCCAAACUCGAGAUGAUCCAAAACCAAAAUUGCUCGAACCUGAAAUAACUCAAACCUGAAGCAACUCGAGAUCGAAGUGAUAAGAAAUUCGAGUGACAUGAGCUCAAAAUAGUAAAAGACUGCAAAUAACUCGAACCCAAAAUAAUUCAACUCCAAGACUGACACGAUCCUACACUCAAUAAUACCCAAAUUAAUAAUCGCCACAAUCCGAUUCAAAAUCUAAAAUAACUAGAAAUAUAACUUUUUAUUAAAAUUAAAGUAGGAUUUUGGUAACAUAUAAUUAUCAUGUAUACCUAAUUUUAAUACUAAUUUUCUUAAUAUAUUUUAUUUCUAAUUAGAAUUUUUAAAAAAUAUCUUUUGUAAUAUAAUUUUCAAAUUCUUAAUCUCUUAAAAUUAUUGCAUUAUAAAUUGUUAAUCGUUAAAUAAAAUAAUUAGCUUGAAUUUAUAUAUAUAUAUAUAUAUAUAUAUAUAUAUAUAUAUAUAAUUAAAAAAUAAAAUAAUUAAAAGGUGAUCCAAUAAAAUAAUUAAAGUUAAGAAUCUUGUAAUUUAGUUUAAUUUCUAUUCUUCUUUAAGAAAAAGGUGAAAUUAUUUUAUGCUAUAUUUAUGAAAAAAAUAAUAUUUAAGACUAAAAUAAAAUUAAGCUUUGAGUAAAAAUUAAAUUAAUAAUAUUAAGCCGUAGUCUAAUGAAAUUCAAGAAAUUUAAUUGAUAAAAAAUUAAUUAAAUAAUUUUUUAAUAUUGACACUAUUUUGAAUUUAAACUCUUUUAAUUUACAUCACUUUUACAAAUAAACUAAAUAAUUAAGUUAAUUAUUCUUAAAAUUAAUAAAAUUAAUAAUUUUUUAUUUGUUCUAUAGUUUUAAAGAAAAAUAUAAAGUAAAUAAAAAUAAUAGUUCAACAAAGAGACAACCAUGCAGAUAUAAAGUAAAAAAUGGUCCAUCAUAAUAUAAAAUUUUUUAAGAAAUUAAAUAUAUAUAAUUUUAUUGGAUAAAAUUUCUGUGAUAAAAAAAUAAAAUCAGAUAAAUUAAUCUAAAAAUUAACCUGAACGAUAAGUUAAUUUGAAACUCAAUCUGAAAUUCGAGACAAUCUGAACUAAAUUUUAUCUAAAUACAACUCAAAUUGAACUCGUAAUGGUCCAGAUCCGAAAAAGAAGCAAAACCAAGGCUCAGUCCAAACCCCACCAACUCGAACUUGAAAUUAACAGAACCCGAAAUUCUCUAAACUCGAGAAGACCCAAAUCUGAAAUGACCAAAUCAUAAAUAAUCUAAAAUUCAAAACGAUUUUAUCCAAACCCGACUCGAUGCAUGUGAAAGUCUUAGACAAAUUCCAGCAAUUUUUUGAUAAAUAUUUGGAAGGAGAUGUGAUCUUAGUGCUAAGGGAAUGUUAUGCACUGCCUUAUCUCCUUUAUCAAACAACUUUAUAUAAAAAAACUUCAAACACUUCAGUUCAUCUAAUUAAAGACAAAGACGUCGAUUGUGGAAAAUGUUCUCUAUUUACCAAUAUGUCUCCAUUUAAAAGAUUAAAAAAUUUCAGCAAAUUUUGGUGGAUAAAUGCACUAUUUGCUCAAUUCGUUAAAAAAUAGCAAGCAAUUAUAGGUUAGGUUCCCUUAUUUCUUUAUUUGUUCUUUUUCCGUUUUGCUUUUCUUCAUAAUUCUGAAACCAUCAUAAACUGCCUUAAUUGCCUUCUUCAGUUUUCAGGACUCCACUAAUGUCAGGAAUUGUCGUAAGAAACUAUGUAUUUUUGUCAUAUAUAAUUUUUCUUCUACAAGUACUCGAAUUGCAGGACAUAUUUAAUUCUUUCAUUGCAGUCUGCCAUCUCUAUAAAAUGUUCAAGUCCCCUUCAAACAAACUCAUCUGCCUUCAAUCAUUUGUCAAGAUUGGAUAUGAACAAAGUCCUUGACCAAUCAACAUUUUAUCUUCCCUUAAUAUUUUACUAGAUUGUUCCAUGAACAGGGAAUUCAGAACCGGAGUUGAUCAGUCCAAGGAUGUAAUAUCCUGUAAAAUUUUUAGGUUGAAGCAAGAGACAAAGGAAGCCUGCCACGUCUCUGUCAAAAUGAAAUCAAUAUUAUGUAACGAGAGUUUUUACAGUCCUAAACAAUCCUUCCUUCCCUUUCUAGUUGUAAUCCAUGACUGUUCAUUUAUCCUUGAAAAAUCAUUCCAUGUCACUAAUUAUUUAUUUUAUUCAGUCUCUCUUCAUUAACAUUUUCGUAUUUCUCACUCUCAAAGCUUAUGCAACUCAAUUGAACUUCAGCUACUCCAGCUUUGAUUCAAACCAUCCUGAGAUUUUCACAGAAAGAGAUACAAGUGUGAGCCAACAAGGUAUUGAACUCACCAUAAACCUGAGUGAUUUGAAAAGGGAAGGGAGUGUUGGUCGAGCCACGUAUAGAAAACCAUUGCACCUUUGGGACAAGGCAUCAGGAAACUUGACAAACUUUACUACCCAUUUCUCCUUUAUUAUCAACUCGAGCAAUAAAUCUCCCUUCGGAGAUGGGCUAGCAUUUUUCCUGGCUCCGAAUGAUUCAGGAAUCCACCCUGAUGUGAAAUCUGGUGGCGGUCUUGCUCUAGCCAUGAAUGACGAUGUCAAUCAUGCAUUGAACUAUGAAGAAAACCAGUUCGUUGCUGUGGAGUUCGAUACCUUUCAAAAUCCCUGGGAUCCAGUAGGUACACAUGUUGGCAUCAAUAUCAGGUCCAUGAAAUCUGUUGUUAAUGUGUCUUGGCCUAGCAAUGUGAUGGAAGGGAGCAGAACAGAUGCUUGGAUUACAUAUGAUUCUAGCCACAAGACUUUGAAUGUCAGUUUCGUUUACGUUGAUUGUAUGAACAACUCAAAAAUGCAUGGUAACAUAUCUGCUGUAGUUGAUCUUGCCAAGUGUUUACCUGAAUGGGUUACUUUUGGGUUCUCCGCCAGUACAGGAGCUUUAUAUGAGGUGAACAGAAUUACAUCGUGGGAGUUUAAAUCAAGUUCAAAAAUUGUAGAUCUUGUGAACAUCCCGAAUGCUAAUUCUGCAGCUAAUCCUGUAUUUCCGAACGACAAUAAAAGUAACACAGGAAUUGUAGCAGGCUUGAGUGGAGGAGCAUGUGCUUUAAUUGCCGCAGCAGGUCUCAUUUUCUAUAGUUUAAGGAGAAAGGGGAAGAAAGAAGUAGAAAUGAAUGAUGAUUCUGUCUUAGAAGUUUCUUUCGGUGAUGAUUUCAAGAAUGGGACAGGACCAAGAAAAUUUUCUUAUGAUGAAUUGGUUGAUGUAACAAAGAAUUUUUCCGAGGGAGAGAAGCUUGGCGAAGGAGGAUUUGGUGCGGUUUAUAGAGGCUUCUUGAAGGAUCUCAACUGCUAUGUUGCUGUUAAGAGGGUAUCAAGGGAGUCUAAGCAAGGAAUCAAAGAGUAUGCCGCAGAAGUGAAGAUCAUUAGCCGAAUGCGGCAUAGGAAUUUGGUCAAGCUCAUUGGUUGGUGCCAUGAAAAAGAACUACUGCUCGCAUAUGAAUUCAUGCCUAAUGGAAGCCUUGAUACCCACCUUUUCAAAGGAAGGACCUUGUUGACAUGGGAAAUUAGGUACAAAAUUGCACAAGGAUUGGCAUCUGCAUUGUUGUAUCUACACGAAGAAGGCGAUCAAUGCGUGCUGCAUAGAGAUAUCAAAUCUAGUAACAUCAUGUUGGAUUCCAGUUUUGAUGCUAAACUUGGGGAUUUUGGGUUAGCUAGGCUUGUUGAUCAUGCAAAAGGAGCUCAAACCACAGUUUUAGCAGGAACAAUGGGAUACAUGGCUCCUGAAUGUUUCACAUCUGGAAAGGUAAGCAAAGAAUCCGAUAUAUACAGUUUUGGAGUUGUUGCUUUGGAAAUAGCCUGUGGAAGAAGAGUUGUAGAACCGAAACUGCAAGAAAAACAAGCAAGAAUAGUGGAGUGGGUUUGGGAAUUGUAUGGAACAGGAAAGCUUCUUGAAGCAGCUGACCCCAAACUUUGGGGAGAUUUUCAAGAACAAGAAAUGGUGCGAUUAAUUAUUGUUGGACUCUGGUGCGUGCAUCCUGACAGAACAUUUCGUCCGUCUAUAAGGCAAGUGAUCAAUGUUCUGCUUAGUCCCGAAGCUCCGCUGCCUGAUCUUCCAUCAGAAAUGCCUGUGCCGGCUUAUCUUGCUCCUCCAAUGAAAAUAUCUAUAACAUCCCUCAUUUCAUCUUAUAAUUCUGCUAGCAGUAACGGAAGGCCAACCCAGAAAUCAACUUACAAAGUCAUAACUGAUUCAUCAAAAGUCACGUCAUCUUCUGGAGCAUCAUCUCCUUCUGUAUCACUCUUGUUAAAUUCUAGAUAAUCUCAAUUUCAGUAAUUCCUUGGAGAUUUCCAUGUAUCCUAAGUGUUAUUCAUGUGGUAUUUCGAAGAAUACAUAAAGCUACAUAUCCUCCACUUUCUAAUUAAUCUAGUUAACAAUAUUUCAAUUGGUUCAUUACAAAUGUUUCUUAGUGAUGAAUAAGGCUACUGAAGCCUAAAAGCAGGAGCUAUGCCUGUUUGGUGUAAUUGUGUCUAUAAAACUUGAGGCAGUGGCGAGUGUGUUUGUAAUCUUGGCAACUGCAGAAUGGCCAACAUUGAUCUCAGGAAAGAUGAUAUAUGCCAAACAAAGUACGACAAAAAAGAUAGGAGAUAUCUGGUUGAAAUAUAAUCUAAUUGAACAUUUUCCUGUAAUAAGAAAAUGGUGAAGAAAAGAGCAAUAUAACCAAAGAGAAGUUGGAAAAGCUGAGUCAAUUAGGCAUUUCUAAAUUCACAUACAGUUGCAUUCAGCUGUAUGAUAAGGAAACAAAAAUUUUAUAUUAGAGAUUGUCGGUUUCCUUUUAUCACCUUCUCUUCGGCUGUGGCCAUUAUCUUUUUAUGUGAAUGUGUAUUCAAAUUAAUCUCUAACAGGAGUAUCUGCUUUGUAAUAAGCAUCCUUUGCUUGGAAUUAUCUCGAAAGCUCCCAUCAUUAUUCAUCCCUCCAAGUCCAAACUACAAAUAAAUAUUAAAUCAAUUUAUAUACACAUUCAUAUAUCAUAUUAGUCCUUUUUCUUUUGUCAAAAUUAGGCUAGUAGCUCAGGAAUUGAAUGACUGCCUGGUAAUGCAGGAGGUCAGGAACUUAAAUCUGACAUCAAAUAUACGAUCAUGUAAUUACUCAUAAUUUUGUUGGGAUUUUAAUCUUUGAAUUUCAAACUUCUCUAUCCGUGUAACAUAAGUGCGGAAAUGAUGACGUAUAAAGAAGAAACGGGUAUAGAUCAUUAAUGGGGCUUACAAAUGCUUGUGUUUCUGCUUCAUGCUGAACCAGGUUCCUUCAAGAAUUUUUCCUGCAGAAUGCAUGGAAAACAGUGGAGUUUGGUGUCAGCAACAUCCAAGAUUGGUUCCUUAGCUUCCCUCGGAAUUGGUAUAGCCUAGAGGGAAUGUCAAUGAGCAUUGACCGCAGGAGAGAAAUAUGUGGGCACAGGAAUCUUUGAAGGGAGAACAGGCAAUGCAGCUUCAAAAUUAAGAACUUGAAUUACUUGCUUAAUAGAAGGUCUGAACUUUGGAUCAGGAUGAGCACACGAAAGCCCAACCAUAAUCAAUCUUCCCAAUUGCUGCUCAUCAACUGUUGCUUCAAGUAUCUUUCCUCCUCCAAUAAAAGUCCCAAACCCAUUUCACCAAAUAAGAUUGAUCUUCAACGGCCAUGACACUGAUGGGUUUUCUUCCACAAGCUAUUUCCAAAGCAACAAUUCCAAAACUGUAGAUAUCUGAUUCCUUGUUAGCCUUGCCUGUAAUGACACAUUCCGGAGCCAUAUAGCCCAAGGUUCCUGCCAAAACUGUCGUUUGUGAACCUUUGCCAUGGUCUACAAGUCUUGCCAAACCAAAAUCUCCAAGUUUGGCAUUGAAAUUGGAAUCCAACAUAACAUUGCUUGAUUUUAUAUCUCUAUGCACCACUAGUUGCUCACAUUCUUCUUGUAAGUACAGCAAUCGUGAGGCCAAUCCUUGAGCAAUAUUAUACCUAACUUCCCAUGUCAAUAAUCUAUCUUUGCGGAAAAGAUGGGAGUCCAAGCUACCAUUAGGCAUGAGCUCAUAAACAAGUAUUAGUUCCCCCUUUUCAUGGCACCAACCUAAGAGCUGUACUAAGUUUCGAUGCCUCAGUCGACAAUGAUCUUUAUAUUAAUAUAUAAGUUUAAAUUAUAUAAUAUUAAUUUUUAUAAUUUAUAUUAUAAUAAUAUCAAAUGUAAAAAAAAAAAAUCCAAAACAACUAAAGUGCGGGACUCCGCAUGUGUUUUGAUAUAUAGAAUUCAAGCUUACUUAUAAUAUUAUAGUUCUUCUAUUAAAUUAUUGAUUAAUGAAUUAUAUUCCUAAUUAAAUACUGACUCUAAUCUUAAAAAUAAUAUAUUAAUUAUAUUUUAAUAUUAUACUAACUAAUAAAUAAUUUCUUAGUCAGAUAAUGAUAUUAAUUCUAUCAUUAAAAAUAAUAUAUUUUAAUAUUAUAUUAAUUAAUAAAUAGUUCUCUAAUUAUAUAAUACUAAUUAUAUCCUAAAAAUAGUAUAUCAAUUAUAUUUUAAUAUUAUAUUUAAUUAAUAAAAUAGUUUUUUAAUUAGAUAAUAAUUCUAAUAAUAAAAGAUAAUAUUUUUAAUAAUAAAUUAAUGCUUAAUUAUAUAACAAUUUUUUAAUUUAAAAAUAAAAAUAUCUAUUAUAAUAUUAAUUUUUAAAGAUAUCUAAAAAUAUAUAAUUUAAUUUUAUAUUUAUUAAUAUUAAAAAAUCUAUUAAGUCUUAUCUAUAAACUCAAUCUAUUUUAUUAUUUAUAAUAAAAAUAAUAUCAAUAAUUGUGCCUAAUGCAUAAAUAUACUAAUAGUUAUUAUGAAAAAAAAAAAAAGAGAGAAACAGCAUAAUGGGAAAAAUCAUGAGUUGGACUAUUAAUAAAAAUAUCUAAAUUAUACUAAUUGAGUGAAUUUUAGAAUACCGCAGUCAACUUUUCAAUAUCUUUAUAUAUUUAUUUAAAAUAAUUAUAAAUUUUGAGUUAAAUUGACAUAAAAUAUUUUAAUAUAUAAUUUUUAUAUAAAAUUACAUAUUAAAAUAUUUUUAUAUAAAUUUCUCAAAAAAGAUUUUUAUGUAAAUUAAUCUAAAAUUUUAUAAUUUUUAUUAAAUGAAUACAUAAAAAUAUUGAAAAGUCACCGUAACUACGGCAUUCUAGAAUUCACAUAUUUGUAUCUAUUUCUAAAAAUAUUCAAAACCAGCUUAAUAUGUUGUACCAUUUUCUAUCGACAUGUUUAAACCAUUAUUGCUAUCCAUAGUCGUUCCUUUUCAUCUCUAACCACGAACAGUGGAUUUAUUAUUGGCUCUAAAAUUAGGUGUGAAUAUAACGGUGAUGAUGAACUUUUCAACCAUAUGACAGUGUUAGCCAUUAAAUAACAUUUUCCAAGUAAACUUCCAUGACCUGAUUUGACGCCUUUUGAUGCUAUCCGUGUAUACUACGGUUUAAUUUAAUGGCCAGAAAAUGGAAAUUCAUGUCCCUGGCCAAGUCAGGUCUUCUCUAUUUUACUUAGACUGGUUCAUAUAUUAUGGUUGACUAUAAAGCAAUAGGUCAUUGUGGUAAGUACAUAGAACAUGCGUGCUAAGUGUGCGAUCUAAAUCUCUAGUGACCCAAUUGCUAAGUCUUCACCAUUGAAAGUGACUCAUUUACCAUUCAUUUAAUUUUGUUUGAGGACAAUAAAUUCGCCUGAAUCAAAUGUAUUGCCGGAAAUAAAUUCGCCUGAAUCGAAUGUCUUGCUGGGAAAUGUCCUUUGGCUUAAACCCAUCGUAAGGAACUUAUUUAAUUACGAUAUUAGCGGACGUUCCUCCAUUAGCAAGUUUCUUGUAAAUUUUGGUAAAGAUUUUAUGAAGUUAUCGUAUCAGUAAACAGUAUGCAACUCCCUUCCAUAACCCCAAACCAGCCUAUACUAAUGAAGACAGAACAAACAUGCUUGGAACAGAACGAAAUUACAUUUAACAAUACAAAUAAAAUCUUAGAAAGGAAAUUCAAAAAGAAGAUAAUAGCAAUAUUGAGUACAACAGAAACGACCAAGUAAAUAAACAUAUCGAACUAAACAGGCACUGAUGGUGUGGGGUACAAGUUUAACGAGUGUGCAUCAGCAACGCAGAUGUAGAGGAGCCUGAAGAAGAUACAGUGCUUAUCGAAGAAUUAGUUGUGUAGCUACAGCUUGAAGAUUGGUUUUGGCUUCCAGUAGCUUCCCAGGACAAAGACACUGAUGAAGGAGGUUGAGGGGGAGGAGAAUACGUGGGCACAGGCAUUUUUGCUGGAAGAAUGGGCAACGGGGCUUCAAACUUAAGGACUUGAAUUGCCUGUCGAAUUGAAGCUCUACAUUUUUCAUCUGGAUGAACACACCAAAGCCCGACUAUUAUCAGACAUUUCAUUUGCUGCUCAUCAAAAUCUCCAUUUAGUCUCGGAUCAGCGGCUUCAAGCAACUUUGAAGGUCCUCCACCAUAAAGAUUCCAAACCCAUUGUAUCAGAUAAACUUGAUCUUCACCAGCCUUAUAGUUGAUGGGUUUUCUUCCGCAAGCUAUUUCCAAAGCGACAACACCAAAACUAUAGACAUCUGAUUCCCUGCUAGCCUUGCCUGUAAUGGCACAUUCUGGAGCCAUGUAGCCCAUUGUCCCAGCCAAAAUUGUGGUUUCUGGACCUUUGCCAUGAUCUACUAGUCUUGCCAAACCAAAAUCACCAAGUUUGGCAUUAAAAUUUGAAUCUAACAUGAUAUUGCUGGACUUUAUAUCUCUAUGCAAUACACAUUGCUCCCAUUCUUCUUGUAAAUACAGCAACCCUGAAGCCAAUCCUUGAGCAAUUUUGUACCUUAUAUCCCAUGUCAACAAGCUGUCUUGUUUAAAAAGAUGGGAAUCCAAGCUUCCAUUAGGCAUGAACUCAUAAACAAGUAAGAGUUUCUUUUCUUCGUGGCACCAACCUAUGAGUUGGACUAAAUUCCUGUGCCUCAAUCUACUAAUGAUCUUAACUUCCGAUGCAUACUCCUUCAUUCCUUGUUUGGAACCUUUAGAUAUUCUCUUCACCGCGACAUAGGAGUUCAUGAAUUCCCUCAAGAAUCCUUUAUACACUGCACCAAAACCUCCCUCCCCAAGUUUUUCUUGCUCCGAAAAGUUAUUUGUGGCCCUAACCAAGUCGUUGUAGGAAAACUUUCUUGGCCCAGUACCCUUUUCAAAAUCUUCAUCCAUUGACAUAUCAAAAUGAUCAACAACUUCUUCAUCAUCAACAUUUGUCUCUCCUCUGCUUCUUUUCCACAUGAAAAGGCAAAUUAGACUAAUAAAGAUUACAAAUCCAGAUACACUUAACCCAACCACAAGUCCCACCUCUUUCUUUGAUCUCUUUGUUGGUGGAACCUCCUCAAUCAUUGGGGCACUGACUGUUGGCGGUAUUGGCUUGUCAAUGAAUUGCAAGUCGGAAGUGAAAUACCGUGAGUGAAGAGUAUGCAUCUCAAAUGAUGCUACUGUGGUAGCUGAGAAACCAAUUGCAACCCAUUCAGGCAAACAGUCCCUUAGAUCAACUUGAUAAGAAAGAUUUUGCUCGAACAUCUCAUUGCUACUGGAAUUAAAGCUGGUGAAUGUAACGCUUAAAACUUUCGAACUAGAGUCGUAGCUAAUUGAAGCAUCAUUUCUUCUACCAUCCUCUAUAUCAGUGUACCACUUAGUAUGAUUCUUAGAUACCGUCAAGUUGAUAUCGAUACCUACAUGUUCGCCAUUACCACUAUCAAAAGGUGGAUCCCAACCUUUGUUUCCGUAAGUAUCAAAUUCGACUGCAACAAAUGGAUAUGCAGACGUUUCGUUGUCUUUAGAAAGACCAAAACCGCCACCGGCCAUGUCCGGAAAUGGGAAAUCAGUUGGUGCAAGGAAGAAAGCCAUCCCAUCUCCGUAGUUGGUACUGUUUAAAGAAUCAAUAGUGAAGGAAAAAUUGGUAAAGAAGUUGGUGAGGUUUUUGGACUCCUUGUCCCAAAGGUAUAAAGGGCUAGCAUAGAUGAUACGACCCAUGCUGGCAGACAUAUCCUUCUCUCUCUGGUUUGUUGUGAGGGAGAUUUCCUGGCUAGUGACAGAGGCAUUUCCUGCGUAACGUAUAUUGCGAUCAUUCUGAUUGAAACUGGGAAAAUCAAAACUCAGGGAAGUGACAGAAGGCACUUUGAAGCAGAUGAAUAAGAUCACCACCGCCACCAUAAGAAGAGGUAGCUGUACUGGUGAAUGGCUGCGAGUUUUGUUGAACUUGCUGAAGGCCAUAGCUCGGAGAAAGAUUUGACAGCUACAGAUGUGGCAAGUCUGAAGGAUGUCUCUGUUUAAGUGAACAUGAAAUCGUUGGAACAUCAAUGGCAUGUAUAAUUCCAUGGAAAAGAAAAAUCAAUGGAAAAUUAUUCUCCAAUUACAAAAAAAAAAAAAAAACAUUGCUAUGAUGGAAACAUAAUUCAUUUACCAAUUAUUUUUAAAUAUGUUAUGAUUUAAAUAUUGAAGAUAUUAUAUUACUUAUUUGAUGUAUUCAAAUUUACUAUAUUUAUAAGUAGUCUAACAACAAUGAUUUAACUAAUAGCCAAUAAGUGGUUUAAGAUGCAAUUUGGUCUGAACUUGUUGGCUAGAUACAAAUCGCUCCAAAAUUAACUUUUGAUAAAUUGAUAUAUUUGUUCUAAAUUUAAGAAUAUGAAUUUCACGCUCAUAUAUAGGCAAGUGAGCUAUAUUUAAAGGUAUAAAAAUAUAAUUUUAAUUAUCUUUUUCUAUCAAAUAAACAUUUUCAUUUUUCUUUUAUACUUUUUCCUACCUUUUUCCUUUAAUUUGUUCUUUCAUGCUUUGGUGCUUUUCUUUCUCACAUAAAUAUAAAAUUAAGAUGGUUCAAAUAUUUGAUAAAAAUGAAAACCCAUAAAUCAAGAAUAAAAAAUUUGAUUCAUUCAUUUAAAUAAUACAUAAAAAAAAUAUAUUUCUUUUUGGGUUUGCAUUUUUAUCAAGAGAUCUAGCAAAAAAUAAAGUAAGAAGAUAUUUUGUAUGUGCAUGAUUUUUUUUAUUUUUAUUAUAUCUACUCUUUUUAGAGAGUGUGUAUCAGUGUCUCAUUUUUAUAAAAUAAAUUUGAGUUAAAUAUAUAAAAUUUUAGUUAAAAUAUUUAUAAAUUUAAAAAAUAGUUCAAUUAAAAUCAAAUAAUAUAAUUAGUGACCAAGUUCAAUUUUAUUCCAAAGCAGUAAUAUAAAAGCAUUUCUUAAAUUAAAAAAGGGAAUUUAAAAUUGUUGAGUAUCAACAUGUAAUUAAAGAAAAGACUUUGACAACAUCAUUUGUAAUUUAUAUUAUAUUGAAAAUAAAAUAAUCUAAAUUCCGUCAUUUGUAUAAGUAAAUAAUAUAAUCUAAAAUGAAAUUACAAAAAUCCAAGCAAACGUUAAUUAAUUCUUUUUAUUGGUUUAAAUUUUAUUAUAUCUUGCAUCGAUUGCGGAAUUAUGCUUGACUAGUUGAGAAUAUUUAUAUAAGCAUAGUUGAUUUGAGUUUAUACAUAAAUUAAAAAAUGUAUUAUCAUUAUUCUUUUAAAUAUCUUUUAUUAAAUUUUUUUAUAAAAUUAUAAUUUUUGGAUAUAUAAAAAAUAAAAUGAAUUACACAUGAUAAUAUUUAUAUUAAUUAAUAAAAAAUAUUUCCGAUAACUACCAAGAUGCAUGAAUUGUUAUAUAAGUAGUAUCUCAGAAAAAGAAAAAGAAAAAAUGGCUUGGAUGGUUUAUUAUAAUAAUCCAAUACAUGAUUUGAUAUUUUUAAUUUGAUGGUAAUGUGAGUCUAUUUUGACAAUAAUGUAAUUUCGAUUUAAGUUCGCUUGACAAAUAAAAUAAUAUAUAAUGACCCAUUUCAUAAAUAUUAUUAUAAUAACUAAUUAAAGAAUUAUUAAUUAUUAAACUUUACACUAGUAUAAUAUAUUCUACGCUUACUUCUCUAAUAUAAUAAUACACCCAACACUUCAGUCACUUUAUUUACAUUUUAUAAACCUUUAAUGCUAUUUAUUUAAUAAGUCAUUAUAUACAAAUUGUUUUGAAAAUGAUAAUAACAAUAAGCAUUUAUUUAUAAACAAAAGUCGUAUUCUAUGUGCAAUGGAUGGCAGUUAAGACCGACGACUUUGACAGCUUCUAACACAGCGGCUGAAAAUCACAAACUGAAAGCUUCCAAAAAAGUGGUUAAUUAAACUACUACUUAAUUAAGCUUCACAGUUGCGAUGGUGCAUCUCUGAAAUAUCAUUAGGAUUAAAGAGUUAAGUAAUCUAAUUCCAAAUUUUAUUAUAAUUUUAUAUGUAAUUAGUUUAAUUUAAUACAUUUUAAAUUCUAUUAGAACUAAUAGGUGAUUAAUUUGAUUUUGAAAGUUUAUGUUAUAUACUAAUGUUUCAUUAUAAAAUAAUUAUGAUAAAAAUUGGUAAUUUAUCAAAGUAUCAUAAAAAUGAGAGCAUACACCCUUAAAAAUAAUAUUUUGCUUAUCUAAAUAAAUAAAAGAAUUUUUCUUCCAUUCAUGACUCUGUCCAAAAUUAAAUAAAAUAUGUAAUUGUCAAUUCUUAUCGAACUAUCUUAUUUAUAAAUGAUUAAAUUCAAUAACUUGUCUAUUAGAUUCUGAAACUAAUGUUAGACGAAAAUAAACUCUUAAAAUGUUAAAAAUUUAAAAUUUAAGUACUCCUUUAACAUAAAUUUUAGAUGUUGUUAAUUGUUGUUUAUGUGUAUAAUAGAUGGUCCCACCAAUUGAAUAAAAUUAAUUUUAAUAAUUAUUUUUAUUAUUUAAAUUUUGUAAAGUGUUAAUUAAAAUCACUUUCUUUUGUCAAGAAUGGUCCUCUAUUCACUUUUUAACCAUCAGAAGAACACCCCUCCAGAUUUAUCCUCUCCGUUUAGUUCCCACGCCACUUCAACCCACCACCAAUCCAUGCCGUCUCCCACCUCUUUACUGGUCUCAUGACAACACUGUUCAGUCAUAAGCAUCACCGACGUUACUCGUCGAUGCUGUCGAUAUGUAUCGUCGUCGAUGUCGUUUCUCAUCCUUGUUGCUGAUGUCAUUUCUCAUCCUUGCUGCCGAUAUGUAUAGUCGCUGGUUUCGUUUCUCGUUGAUGCCCCACCGUUUGUCCUCCAAGGACUCCCGUGUAGUGUCAUAAGAUGAAGGAAUUGCAAAAGCGACACCGAACAGAUUGAGAUCUAUUGCAAUCUAUGCAUGUUUCGAGCUCCUCUUCGUUUCUUGAUUUCUUUCUUUCUUUCUUAAAAAGUUACGUGCAAUGUAAAUUGAAGUGUAUUUAUUAAAUAUAGAGCAGAGAGUGAAAUUUGACAUUUCAUUUCAUGUAUAAAAAGUCAAAUUAAUUCUCUACUUUAUAUUUAAAAAUAAAAAAUAUAUUAAAGUGUCAUUUUAUACUACGACUCAUUAAAAUAAAAAAAAUUACAUAUAUAAAAGAAUAGUUUGGGUGUUUUGUUUUUAAGUUGAAAGCUAGUAAGAAGAUCAAGAAGCGUGAUGAUUGUGGUGGAGAUAGGGAAUGGUAUGGUGGUGGUGAUGGGCAACGAUGGUGAUAGAGAUUGAAAGUUACGUGCUUUAUUUCUUCAAAUGUGUUAAUGAAUUAUUAGCCAAUUUUAUUGCCACAUCAUCAUUUUUUGGUCUUGUAAAGAAAACUGCCAUGUCAGCUAGGGUUAAUGUCAGUUUGAUUCUCUGUUAAGAGGAGGACUGAAAUUAUAGGUUCUUAUUACUUUAAAGGUUUAAUUGAACCUAAUCCGCAUCUCGCACUAGACUUAAGAGCAAAAAAUGCAUAUUUUCCCUAAAAUCAAAGCAUCUUUGCUCCGACUCAUGACUCACUCCAGAAUUGAAUAGAAAAUGUAUUGAAACAAUAAUUCUCCAAAAAGACCACUAAUGUUGUACACUUGUUCUAAUUAUGUUGACUUUUACACCAACUAAUUAAGAACUAGAUUUUGUUUGCAGACAGGAGAAACGGUAAUAUUACAAGUAAUAGCAUUUGAUUUUACCUUCAACCCAUCAAUAAAGCAUCAAAAGAGAAAUAACAUUAUCAUGAUCUUUGAACAUUUACCAAUCCGAGCUGGCCGUUUAUUCAAAUUGAUACUCCAAAUGAUGCCAAGAAGUUGUUAAACUGAUUCCUAUAAUAUGUUUUCUUUCUCUUUUUUUUACCCCAAAUCGGGUCAUUCACAUAGAACUAAUCCUAUUAAUGUUUUUAAAGAAACAAUAAAACUCUUAUAGAAACCAAUUUCAGAAUGGUGCUGCUAUCCUCCAGCCUUUCGAUAAUGGUAUGGUGGGUAUGUAUGCCCAUUAGCCUUUUGGUAGAAUACAUUUUUGGGUGUUUAGUACUUUUCGAUUUUAUGUUACUUAGUUCCUGACAAUCGAUUGCAUUUUAGUGAAUGUCUAUUUUAUUAUUUUGUUAUCAUUAAGUCCUUAUAUUAAGAGAGCGUGUAUAUAAAUAUAUUAAAUAUGCUAGUAAAAUAUUUAAUUUUAGUUCAUUAAGUCCUCAAAAGAUUUAUUUUACUUUAAAAUAUUUAUGUACUUUUAUUAUUUUUAUUUUUUAAAAUUCUUACAUAAAUAUUUAUUAAUUUUGAGAGCUUCUCUUCAAGAGAAAUUUUAAGAAUAAAUAAUAAAAUAAUAAAAAUUAAUGCAAGUGAGGAGAAAAGUGAGAGUGAUAUAAAUAUUCAAGUCGAGAAAACUAAAAAAUAAUCUUAGCAAUAUAAAAUGAAUAUUGUCUCAUAUUGAAAUUCAAAAAAAAAAUUUCGAUGCAUUGAGAUAAGGAGAAAACAAUUAAAAAAAUAAAAUAUAAAUUUAACGAAUCAUCUCGCAUUGAAAUUCUAAAAAAAUUAUUUUUCAUAUUAAAUAAAAAUGAUAAAAUAAUGAAAAUAAAAAAAUAAGGCAACAUUAUAUAAAAUUCAAGAUUCUUUUAUUUUAAAUCUAAUGGCAUAUGAUGAAUUAAGAUUUAAAUAGUGAAUGAAUGUGAAAAGAUAUAACAAGAUAUUUUAUAAAUAUUUAGGGACCUAAUAAAACAAAAUUAAAAAGUUCAAAGAUUUUUUAUAACAACAAAAGGAUUUUUUAGGGACCCAAUAAGCAAAAGUUCGUCAAACUUGCAUACAAACUAAAAAUAAAUUAAAUUGUAAUAGAAAAAAAUAUUGAAGCAAAAUUGAUAAACUUGACAAUCACAGGACAGGUUUUGUUCCUUGAGGGAGGCCAUGCCCUGAAACAGUGGGAGCAUCGGUGCCACCUCCGCCUUGAUUGGGCUUGACUGGUUUGUGUCCUUCGGCACCAUAGCCUUGGCGCUUGUAGUCCUCCAAAGUGUUAUAUUGUACGUAAGGACUGGUCUUUACAGGCAACCUUACUUCUACUUCUUUAUUUCCCUCAUUUUCUGUCUUCUUUACCAUCUGCUCACUGCUAUUCUCCAUCUUACUUUUUUUUUUUUUGUUAUGUUUAUUAAUAUUUUUAUUGUCUUUCCAUGUUCCUUGCCAUCCUAUGCUACUUUUAUACACAUGCAUGCACAGGAAAAACAAAUGGUGUCCAAGAGCUUAUUGUCACAAUUUAAUUAGUUGGAGAUCCAUAAUUUUCGAAAUCUUUUUGACUUAAUCAUUCAACUUGCUUGUCUCAUGGAUCACCAUGUACUAAACUAAACUUAAGACUUCUCAAACCUGUCUUUAAAAUGAUAUAUAUAUAUAUAUAGUAGGAAAUAUAAAAGACAUCUUUCUCUCAUAUAUAUAAAUCAGCAAAUGCAAAUAUUUAUCAACUUAGCACAAGGUCCAACUGAUCGCCACCCUUAUAUUGUAAAUAUGCAGUUAUGAAUAAUACAGUCUUUCUGUAUCAAUUUUUUUAUUUGUUUGCUCCUUCUUCUUAACAAAAAGGAAAUGCAUUCCAUUUGCUAAGGAAAUUAUAGAUCAAAUAAAUAAACUUUGCAAUUUUUGGCACAUUUGGCCUAAACUUAAAGAGUAGGUUUUAUUUUUUUAACUUAAAAGAGUACAAUUAGUAGAAGCUGUAAUAGAGAUUCUUGAGGAAAAUUAGCCACAUUAAUCCUUUAGUAUUACAUCCUGUCAUGCUAAUUUUCAUGAUAUGAUCAAUAAAGAAAGAUAAAAAAUUUAUAUGUAUUUACUUACAUAUUUUUAUACAACAGAAACUAAUUAUUCCAGUAGUGCUUCUUCAAUCCAGAUUGCGGAAUCGCUCCAACCAUGAGAAAUGGUGCCUGUUUGCAUGUCAUAUAUCCACCAGCCAUCAUNNNNNNNNNNNNNNNNNNNNNNNNNNNNNNNNNNNNNNNNNNNNNNNNNNNNNNNNNNNNNNNNNNNNNNNNNNNNNNNNNNNNNNNNNNNNNNNNNNNNNNNNNNNNNNNNNNNNNNNNNNNNNNNNNNNNNNNNNNNNNNNNNNNNNNNNNNNNNNNNNNNNNNNNNNNNNNNNNNNAUCCGACUCUGCUUGCUGAGACAGACAUACAACAAUUAGUACCCAAAAACAAUGUUACAUCCCCAAUACUUUCUUUCUUAAUCCAUGUAAGUUUAGUAGUGUUAAGUUGGUAAACUUCCACAUAAUCCACUAUCUUAAUUGAAUUUCUGGAUAUGAGGAAGACUAGCAAAACCUUCCCUUCUGAUUCAAUCAAACAUUCUCUAAAAUGCAUCGACGAAACAGACGGAACAGCUCUUUUCUUACUCAAAGCUGUGAUUCUGACAUCGGAAUCGAUGUCUUCUUCUAUAACUGCCAAAGUUCCUUGCAAGCUCAAAGCGAAUAACUUUUCCUUGAACCAAAUGCCAUUGGUAAAUCGCAAGAGAUUACUUCUAUCAUUCGGGUCAGAACAAUGGGGAUCAACAAUGGCGCUAUCCUUUUUCAUCCAUUCUCUUGUUUCACCCCACAUUCUGUAGAAAGCGAAAGCUGGACUAGUGAUGCCUGUCAAAACAAUCACAACGCAUUUAUUUUGGUAACUGGGCUUGGAAGAUGAAGAAGUGUAUAUUACUGGGUGUUUGAUAUCCCAUAAUGGUAAAUACCACCCUCCUUCAUCGGUUGCAUCUCGUAGUACAUAAUUCGGAGCUGGAUUGAAGUAAUUUGGAACUUGUUUAGACACUAUUACGCCAUGGCUGCAUCCAAGAACAUGGAGUUUCUCAGGCGGACGCGAAUCGCGGUACCAAUACCAUAUACAAUCCCUUUUAAACGUGAUGUUGAAGGUGUGAGGCUGCUUGUUAUAAUUAUUAGCAAUUUCAUGAUCAUCAAUGGCGAGCUGAAGCCAUGGAAGUGUAGAAUUUGAAUUACACUUGUUUGGUUUUAUUUUCCAGGACUUCGUCACGCCCCUGGAAAAGAUUGCUUGAUAUAGCGAAGGCUGCCUUUCUAUCAGGUAGAUAAGUUUCUUUGGAAGAUCUGGCCAUAGUUUUGAACUGUUGGCUUCUGUGUUAGAUGAUGUGGGCUGCUUUUUGUUUUUCUUCUUUUCCUUUCCCGCUGCUGACAUUGCUGCAAGAAAUGUGUUUUGGAGAUAUGGGUCUGAGGUUCGCUAUCUGAAAGAGGAGAUUAAAUAAACAUUAACAUGAGUAGCUUUCAAGGUCUGUAAUAAUUUAAGUGUUGAAAUUGCAUACUGAUUGAACACCUUGGGCAACAAGAAGUUCCUAUUAAUCACCUUGGGGAAGAGGUUUUCUUGUCUUAACAACCUUCAAUAUAAUAUACAUACAUAAAGAAAAGAGAGCUACAGUUGUGCUAUGAAUUUAAUAUGACAAAGUAUUACAGGAUGCUCCAUAAAUCAUGGUCUAUAAUGAUAUCAUGCUAGUUAUUUAUUUGACUAUGCUAUAUGACAUAACCAGUGCCUGCUCUUACAGAUGAGAUUACCCUAUAAAAUACUAGUUUUCCCAAGUCCAAAAGCUUACUGAAUGUUUAAUAAUCGUUACAUAGAACCAGAAAUUUAAUUUUCAGAUUUCUCUUUUCUUCUUUUUUUUUUUUUUUUUUGAAAAUGUUUCACAUUUGACUUCUCAUUUUCAUAUAUUAUCAACAAAUAUUUAGUCUAGACAAACAAUAAUUGAUUUGCAAAGUAAUUCUAACAUAUGUUCUGGACUUGUACUUAGUAGCUAAUACAGCAGAUGUUAGCCCUUCGCAUACACAACAUAAGUAUGCACAAAGCUUUACCAGUCAGAUUAGAGCUUCAUAAUCGUCAUUAGUUUGGAUUGUAUAAGGAUUCUCUUUACUGUAUUCGUGUCUUUGUUUUUGUCUGUUGUGAGUUAGUUCAUGUUGACGACUUAGCAAGUGUUUUGCAACUCUUCCAGAAAGAGUUUAUUAGCUAACACAACAACAUAAUAUAGUUGAAAUGGUAAGAGUCUCUUCUAACUUAAUUAAGGUAUUAAAUUCGAGCAUUGAGUAUGCAAGUGCGUCGAAAAUCUUCAAAUAUCACUUUGUCACCCAUGAAAGUACUGUCCGACACACUCUAAAUUAACUCUAGAUGCGUGUGCACAAAAAAAAAAGAGUGGAUUAGCUCAUUCUGUUCCUGGAUAGAAAGAGGUUCAGUUAUCUUGUAGUAGUCACCAUUGUUCACUGCCACGGAAUAAAGGUUGUACCUCCCUACUUGCCUUUGCACUUUUCUAAUAAAAGAGGAACUAAUAUUAUAGAACGCCUACUGCAAAUACAAAGCACCAAAUCUUUUCUUUGUUUUUUGGUGAAGUCGAGUGCUGGAUGGACCAACAUCCGUUUUCUUUUUCCUCUGUCUUUUGUCUGUCGUGAAAAGAUACCAUAGAAUUGGAAAGAAAAUACUAAGAAACGUCAUAUAUAGAUUUCAGUAAAUAGUGCAAACAGUUAAAAAGAAAAUACUCCAAAACUGUAAGUGAUAUAAACUUACUAUAUAAAUAAUGUUGGUCCAAAUGUGUAGGAUUAAUUAUUAAAUCAAAUGUGUUCUGAUUCCAAAUCAUACACUUACAAUACAGAGUAACAUGCAAGUUUAGAAUUUUCUGACACACAACCUAAUCCUCUACUGUUGGUUCAACCCAAACUGCAGAUAAGUUUGAAGCAUAGAUGCUAGUAAGGCUGCAUGUGUCCAUUUCAUAAACCCACCAACCCUGAGUACUCCCACGACUAAAAUAAACACAAUUUCCCCUGCAUCCAACUCUGCUUGCAGAGACAGACAUACAACAAUUAGAACCCAGAAAUAAUGUUCUUUCUCCCAGGCUCUCCUUCUUAAUCCAUGCGAGUUUAGCAGUAUUAAGCUGAUAAACUUCCACAUAAUCAACCGUGUUAAUAGAAUUUCUUGAGAUAAGAAAAACUAGCAAAACCAUCCCUUCUGAUUCAACCAAGAACUCUUUGAAAUGCAUGGACGAAACAGAGGGGACAGAUCUUUUCUUACCCAAAGCUGUGAUUCUGAGAUCAAAAUCAAUGUCUUCUAUCACUACCAGAGUUCCCUGCGCACUCAAAGCGUAGAACUUUUCCUUGCACCAGAUACCAUUAGUCAAUUGCAAAAGAUGGUCACGUCUAUUCGGGUCAGAACAAUUGGGAUCAACAAUGUUGCUAUCCUUUCUUAUCCAUUCUCCUCCUUCCCAUAUUCUAUAAUAGGCAAAAGCAGGAUGCGCAACACCUGUCAAAACCAUGACAGUACAUUUAUUUUUAUUCUUAUGACGACUUAUCCAAGGCAGCGGUGAGGACAAAGCAGCGCGUAUAAAUGGAAUACCAGCAUCCCAUCUCGGAAUACACCAAUAUCCAUCAAUUACAGGAUCCCACAAAUUGUAAUCUAAAGCUGAAGCUCCUUUCGCCACUAUUAGACCAUUUGAGCAUCCAAUAAUCUUGUAAACUGGAGGCGUAGGCUUAUGUCUCCUCCAGUACCAGAUAAAGCCCCUUCUAAUUGGCAAGUGAAAGACGUGAGACUGCCUAUUAUGAUCACUCUCACGAUUACCUGAUAGUUCAAGCCAUGGUGUUGCAGGAUUUGACCUGCACUUGCUUGCUUGUGCUCGCCAUGACUUUGUCACACCUUUAGAACAAAUAUGUUCCAGUAGAGAUGAAUUUCUUGCUAUCAGAUGGAUAAGCUGUUGGGGAAGAUCCGGCCAUAACUCUAGAUUAUUGGCUUCUUUGUCUAUUUUGCUGCUCUUCUUUUCUUUACCCUCCAUUGUUCUUUGGCGAGCAAAUGUGUAACAGAGAUGAGAUUGGGUUGGAUUAAAGUCAUGUAGUCUGAAAGAAGUUAUAAAUAAACAUCUGUAUGAGUAUCCUCCAAGAAUCAAUAAUCAUUAGGCGACAAAGAUGACAUGUGGACAUGUAUUUGUUUUUGUUUUGACUUUGGUUUAGUAGAUAAACCCUUAAGCAACAAGUUACUCCCCUCGUCAGCCGCAAACUUCCGUGCAAAGGAAAGUCGAUAUUCCCCCACCGUUUCAGUGGUAAAUAUAUAUUCCAAUUUUGGGGUC
rnacentral:lncRNA from 1 species